AUGCGCAUGAGGGGUCAUAGUGCCCACGACUGGCCGUGCGACGAGCGGUAUGAGCCAUACUUCGAGAGAUUGGGCCUUCUCCCGUUCGUGCUUCAGUUCAAGCGACACGCUCCGUCGAUCAACCAUGGGGCGAUGACCGCACUUAUUGACCGUUGGAGGCCAGAGACACACUCGUUCCACUUGUCAUGUGGAGAGAUGACCGUGACCUUGGAGGACAUGGCGAUGAUCAGUGGCCUUCCAAUCAAUGGAGAAGCUUUGACCGGCACCACCGUAAGUGCUAAUUGGCGAGAUCGUGUUGGCCAAUUGACAGGUGUUUUCCCCGAGCCUCCUGAAGAAGGCGAGCGUGACCGUGAGAAAGUGUUGCAUCAUUGGCUCUGA
rnacentral:rRNA from 1 species